GCCACAUCGCUCACCUGAGCAAUUGGCUAGGAAAAAAACACAGAUCAGAUCAGAACUGAAAGUAAACUGGGGGGGGGGGGGGGGGUGGCUUGAAUUUUACAACCCCCCCUAGGGGGUCAUGAUUUGAAAAAACUUGAAUCUACACUACCUGAGGAUGAUUCCCAAUAAAUAUAACGAAGCCUGGCUUUGAAGUACUUGAAAAGAAGAUUUUAAAAGAUUUUUCCUAUAUAUUCCUUUGUAAAACCUAGAUCGGCCAUUUUGGCCCCACCCAACCCCCGGGGGUCAUGAUUUGAACAAACUUGAAUCUACACUACCUGAGGAUGAUUCCACAU